rnacentral:rRNA from 1 species
CAGUAGCCGCGGGAAAACGUAGGUGGCAAGCGUUGUCCGGAAUUAUUGGGCGUAAAGGGCUCGCAGGCGGUUUCUUAAGUCUGAUGUGAAAGCCCCCGGCUCAACCGGGGAGGGUCAUUGGAAACUGGGAAACUUGAGUGCAGAAGAGGAGAGUGGAAUUCCACGUGUAGCGGUGAAAUGCGUAGAGAUGUGGAGGAACACCAGUGGCGAAGGCGACUCUCUGGUCUGUAACUGACGCUGAGGAGCGAAAGCGUGGGGAGCGAACAGGAUUAGAUACCCCCGUAGUCCCUGUCUCUUAUAA